rnacentral:lncRNA from 1 species
CUUGUUUACCUUUCUUCAGUUCAGAUCUAAUCUCGCAGUCGCCGCCCAACACUCCCUUUCUUCACAUUAAAAUCUCACCGUCGAUUAAGGAUGAUGAGCAGAAGAGCUACUGUUUCUGCAAUCGAUCUCAUUCAUGGCAGAGGAUUUCUCAAUCGAUGGUCGCAUAAAUCGGGUAUUCUCUCUCCUGUAUUCUCUCUCUUCUCUUCCAAGGCUUUUCAACCUAAGCAGCCCAGAAUCGAUUUCAGCUGUGUUAAAGAAUUAAAUGAUGCUAUUGAAUUGUUUCAAAAAAUGAAGUGUAUGCGGCUGGAGGCUCCUGUUCUCGCGUAUAAUAAACUUAUGAGUAUUAGUGUAAAGAUUGAGCAGUACUCUUUUGCCCUUGAUGUGUUCGAUGAAAUGCUUAGGAUGGGUGUCCCAGUUAAUGUUUACACAAUGACUAUUGCUGUCAACUGUUGUUGUCUUUUGAAAGAUAUAAACUCUGGUGUUGCUAUAAUGGGAUUCUUUUUUAAGAGUGGUUACGAACCAAAUGUCGUGACUAUCGGCACACUCAUUAAAGGGUUGUUCUUGGUUGAGAAAGAGGCCGAAGCCGUGAAAUUGUUUGAAAAGGUUCUGGAUUUAAAACUUUGUGUGCCUAAUGAAGUAAUGAUUCUGCACGUGAUAGAUGGGCUGUGCAAAUCUGGGCAGGUCAUUGCAGCACAUGACUGGCUUCAUCGAUUAGAAAGUAAUGGCUGCAGAGCCAAUGUUUGGAGUUAUAAUGCGUUAAUUGACGGAUUCUGCAAAGAAGGAAAGAUGGAAGAAGCUGGGAAGAUAUUGGAAACCAUGACACAACAAAAUAUUUGUCCAGACGUCGUCACUUAUUCUUCGCUUAUUGAUGGGUUUUGUUUAAGGGGUGAAAUCGAGAGAGGAAAGCAACUACUCGAUCUCAUGGCAGAGAGGGGCCUUAAACCCGAUGUUGUUACCUAUAAUAGCUUAAUUGACGGAUAUUGCAAGGUGGGGACCAUCGAUGAAGCUUUGCAUCUUUUUCUUGAAAUUCCGAGUAAAGGUUUGAAGCAUGAUGCACUUACUUAUAGUACCAUGAUACAUGGAUUAUUCAAAAAAGGUAGAUUUGUUGAGGGCUGGAAGCUUUUUGAGGAUAUGGAAGCUCAACAAGUACAUCCUCACUUACAUAUUUAUAAUAUAUUAUUGGAUGGGCUAUGUAGGAAUGGAGAGAUUGAGGAAGCUUUUUCAUUAUUACGCAUGAUUGAAGUGAAAGGAUUUACUCCUGACAUAGUCUCGUAUGGCUCGCUUAUUGAUGGAUUAUGCAAAAAUGGCAAACGAGAUGUUGCAAGAGAUCUUUUGAGGGAACUUUCUUCUAAAGGAUUGCAGCCUAAUGUUUGGAUAUACAAUAUGAUCAUUCAUUCACUUUGUCAAGAAGGAUCUAUGGAGGAGGCAGAACUUUUGCUUGUAGAGAUGAAGAACCGUGGCUGUGGACCUGAUCGUGUGACAUACAACAUUAUCAUCCGAAGUUUGCUAAAGCAAAAUGAGCUUCACAUGGCAACAUCAUUCAUGGAGGAAAUGCGCCAAAAGGGAUUCUCAGCAGAUUCUGCAACUUCUUCAGUGCCAACUGAUCGAGCGGAAGAACAAAGUGGAGAUGGUUUUUUCCUCAAAUUGAUGAAGAACCUUGCUCCCAAGAAAAUUGUAUCGUAGUCCUUUCUUCUUGAUUAUAUACGAGGUUAGUGAUAUGGACACUCAUAUAAUAUCAUCUUUUCGUCAAUUUUGUGGGUAAUAACUAAUAAUGAUACUGUUUUUUUUAGGUGUGCAGUUUUGGGCCUGUGCUAAAUUUAGUUUUGGUCUGUUAUAAUUUAAAGUUUCUAAUUGAUUAAAUGAGAGAAAGCUAUGGAAGUGAACAUAUUCAGUUAUUGUACCUAUUUCAUGUUGAGGCCUCCAAGAAAUGAACGUUUCAAGAGAUUUUAAUCUUAAAGUUGUAUUGAAACUACUGAUUUUUCUUUGUGAUAUGUCAUGCUGUGUUUGUUCUUCAAUAGCAUACAUCGUUGUGUGAUGUGUUUCUACUGCAGGGUGAGGAUUCGUAUAGCCAUAGAGCCAGAGGUUUUCGUCUCGGAGUUGCAAGCAGCAAUGGUGCCGACGUGCAGUGGAGUUCGAUUCUCUAUAUGCUUGUUGCCCCAAGUUGUGUUUAGAUGAGCUCAACAUUUCAUUGAUGAUAUUUCUAUGUUUGGUAACCUGUUAGAAUUGAACUAUGUUAGGACAUAUGUAGUUUGUAUUUCUAAGAUUUGAACAUUUUGUUGAUGGAGUAACAAUCUUGUGUUUAAAUUAUUUGUAUUACAAUUACACAAGUUUGUUUGUUUUUUUUUUUGGUUUAUGACCAGUUUAUUUUAAAUAGCAUUCCUGUUUUAAAUAACUUUUACAGAUGAAAACUUCCCAUAGCAGUUAGGAAAAUAGGAAGGGUGUAUUAGUUUAGUUGUAUCUAUAAUAUAUUUAAAAGGCAACUUCAAUUUGAAAUAAAUUUUAAAUUGAUUUCAAAUUAUUAAUGGCAAUAUUGAAAUUAUCGUUAUGCAAGUGUUGAAUAAAAAUUAAAUAAUCUAUUAUAUAAGCUCUUACCACGAUCUUCAAUUCAAAAUGCAUAUCACAUAUAUAUUUUUAUGAACCGAAUAAUAUUUCCAGCGAAUGAACAUUGAGGUGGAAACUGUCAACGGAGCUUAAAACGAAAGUCUUCCUAAAUGACCUAGUUGGACAUUAGGUAGACUGCAGGAACACAAAAAAUUGUUAACGAAUCAACAAGAAGUGGGACAUGCAGUGGUAGAUAGUGCUAAAAGAAUUAUGAACACUAAUUUUUGUGAUUACAUGUCUCAUUUUUUUGUUGAUUCAUUAAUAUAUUUUUGUGUUCCUAUAUUGUAAUUUACCUAAUGUCAAGCUACGUUAUUUAGGAAGAUUUAAGCCCCAUAAACAGUUCCGACUUCCACCUCAACAUUCAUUCACCGAAAAUGUUCUUCGUGUGCAAAAUCAAAAUAAAUAAAUAAAUGAAAGUUCACGUAUUUGGUGACAUGAUUUUAAGUUUAUGUGCAAAACAAGAUAGGAAGUUCUUUCGUGGACGGAUGGAGUAUUACUUAUUUAUUUAUUUAUUUAUUUUAAAAUAAGUUUCUAGUCUAUUUCUGUGCAUAUGAAAUUUCUUCUAUGUAGUGCAUGAAAAAUCAUGACAAUUGAAAUAAAUAAUGAUGAAAUUUUCAUUCCAUGUCAACAAAAAAAACAAAGCCCUUUUUUUAAUGGAAACUUUUUGUAAUCGUGGUUAUUUUGCUUCAUUCUCGAGUAUGAAAAUUUCCAAAUUGAACAAGUCUACUUGUUACAAAUUAAUUUUCAAACUACUUUCAUUUUGCAUUUAUUUAAAUAACAGGACUAGGUUACUUUACUCAUUUUAAAACAAGACGUACAAACUAUCAAGAUAUGAUAAAAUUUCUAUCAAAUUAACAUCAUUAAUUCGUUGUGAAAUACGAUUAAUUCAAAAUAAAUAGAAUUUUUGCUCCAUCGUUGAAUCAAAUAUCACUAAUCCAUGUAUUCGUAGUAAAAGAUGAUGAAUUUGAAAAUAUAGAAUUUCUGUCAUGGAAUUCUAACCAGGAUCACGAAUUUAUUCAACAAACUACUUAACUCACAUAGAUGUCCACGAUCUAAAGCUGUAAAUGGUUCAUAACUAUUUUAAAAUAUAUUUUUAUUUUAUCCGAUCUCUAUUUAACUUGUCAUUAGUUAUUUAUGAUUAUAUAAUUCCUUUCCCCUUUUCAAUUAUUUUUACUAAGCACAGAUCCCAAAAGACAAAGUUGCUCAUAUUUGUUGGAACUUUUAGGUGAUUUAAUCUAGUGUGUGUAUAUAUAUACAUAUGUAUAUGUAUGUGUAUGUAUUGAAAGAACAAUUUUAGCGGUGGUUGUUAAAAUUAAUUUAUAAAUAUUUGACUGGGUUUCCUUUUUCUUUCUUUUUUUUGGUGUUGGAAUAGCAAUUCUAGUGGUGGUUAUUGAAAUUAAUUUAUAAAUAUUUUACCUAGUUAGUCAUAUUAAUUGGACACGGUGUAAAGUUGAUCAUGUUAAAUGGAAUUUUUAAAAGUCGUGCUAAAUUUAAAAUUUGACUUAAAUUCAUGAUAUUACAUGUAUUUAACCCUUUUUUAAAAGAACAAUUAUAGUGGUUGUUUUUAAAAAUAAUUUAUAUAUAUUUAUUGAAAGAACAAUUAUGGUAAUGGUAGCUAAUGAGAUCUUGCUCUAGUAACAAAGCUAAGGCACCCAAAAACUCUUCUUUGUAAGAGGUCUUCAAUUCAAUCUCGCUUGACAGCAAUAUUUUCACACUUUAUGAGCGUUCUCGCCUACGUGCAUGCGGGUUGCAUAAUAGAGCUUUGGGAAGCUUGGAUCCGGUCAAGAUCCCAAGAACAAGGAGCGCUUAUAUACUUAUCUUUAAAAGAUCAUUUUAGUGGUGGUUGUUAAAUUAAUUUAUAAAUUUUUGACCAAGUUUAUACUCCCUCCGUCCACGAAAGAACUUUCUAAUUUUUCUUUUUGGGACGUCCACGAAAGAACUUACUAACUAUUUUUGGACUAUACCUCAUCACUCUCAAUACUAAUUAAAACAAUUUUUCAUCAUUCUCAAUACACUCAAUAACUUUUUAUUCACUUUUAAUACACUAAACAUUUNUUUUUCUUAAAACUCGUGUCACUCCCUCCUAAAAAGUUCUUUUGUGGACGGAUGGAGUAUAAUUUUCUUGAUUGGGAUUCAAGAGCACGUUUUUCUUUUUCAUUAGUAAUUUUUUUGAGAGCCCUAUAUAUUGGAGUACAGUUGAAACUCUUCGUUCUCACUUGUUUUAGUUUACCUUUCUUCAGUUCAGAUCUAAUCUCGCAGUCGCCGCCCAACACUCCCUUUCUUCACAUUAAAAUCUCACCGUCGAUUAAGGAUGAUGAGCAGAAGAGCUACUGUUUCUGCAAUCGAUCUCAUUCAUGGCAGAGGAUUUCUCAAUGGAUGGUCGCAUAAAUCGGGUAUUCUCUCUCCUGUAUUCUCUCUCUUCUCUUCCAAGGCUUUUCAACCUAAGCAGCCCAGAAUCGAUUUCAGCUGUGUUAAAGAAUUAAAUGAUGCUAUUGGAUUGUUUCAAAAAAUGAAGAGUAUGCAGCCGGAGCCUUCUGUUCUCGUGUAUAACAAACUUAUGAGUGUUGGUGUAAAGAUUGAGCAGUACUCUUUUGCCCUUGAUGUGUUCGAUGAAAUGCUUAGGAUGGGUGUCCCAGUUAAUGUUUACACAAUGACUAUUGCUGUCAACUGUUGUUGUCUUUUGAAAGAUAUAAACUCUGGUGUUGCUAUAAUGGGAUUCUUUUUUAAGAGUGGUUACGAACCAAAUGUCGUGACUAUCGGCACACUCAUUAACGGGUUUUUUUUAGUUGAUAAGGAGGCCGAAGCUGUGAAAUUGUUUGAAAAGGUUCUGGAUUUAAAACUUUGCAAGCCUAAUGCUGUUAUGAUUCUGCACGUGAUAGAUGGACUGUGCAAAGCUCGACAGGUCAUUGCAGCACAUGACUGGCUUCAUCGAUUAGAAAGUAAUGGCUGCAGAGCCGAUGUUUGGAGUUAUAAUGCGUUAAUUGACGGAUUCUGCAAAGAAGGAAAGAUGGAAGAGGCUGGGAAGAUAUUGGAAACU